rnacentral:rRNA from 1 species
UACAGAGGGGGCAAGCGUUGUUCGGAAUUACUGGGCGUAAAGGGCGCGUAGGCGGCCUUCUAAGUCGAACGUGAAAUCCCUGGGCUCAACCGGGGAACUGCGUCUGAGACUGGAAGGCUUGAAUCCGGGAGAGGGAUGUGGAAUUCCAGGUGUAGCGGUGAAAUGCGUAGAUAUCUGGAGGAACACCGGUGGCGAAGGCGGCAUCCUGGACCGGUAUUGACGCUGAGGCGCGAAAGCCAGGGGAGCAAACGGG